rnacentral:rRNA from 1 species
UACAGAGGUCCCAAGCGUUGUUCGGAUUCACUGGGCGUAAAGCGUGCGCAGGCGGUGAUGUAAGACAGGUGUGAAAUCCCCGGGCUUAACCUGGGAACUGCAUUUGUGACUGCAUCGCUGGAGUGCGGCAGAGGGGGAUGGAAUUCCGCGUGUAGCAGUGAAAUGCGUAGAUAUGCGGAGGAACACCGAUGGCGAAGGCAAUCCCCUGGGCCUGCACUGACGCUCAUGCACGAAAGCGUGGGGAGCAAACAGG